rnacentral:rRNA from 1 species
CAUGAAGUCGGAAUCGCUAGUAAUCGCGGAUCAGCAUGCCGCGGUGAAUACGUUCCCGGGCCUUGUACACACCGCCCGUCACACCAUGGGAGUUGGCUGCACCAGAAGCAGGUGGCUUAACCCCUCCGGGGGAGGGUGCCUGCCACGGUGUGGUCCAUGACUGGGGUGAAGUCGUAACAAGGUAGCCGUAGGGGAACCUGCGGCUGGAUCACCUCCUUUCAA